rnacentral:rRNA from 1 species
UUGACGGGGCCCGCACAAGCGGUGGAGCAUGUGGUUUAAUUCGACGCAACGCGAAGAACUUACCAGGGCUUGACGUCCCCUGACCGCGUAUGAAAGUACGUUUUCACCCUCGGGUGACAGGGAGACAGGUGGUGCAUGGUUGUCGUCAGCUCGUGUCGUGAGAUGUUGGGUUAAGUCCCGCAACGAGCGCAACCCCUACGUUUAGUUGCUAACGCGUGAAGGCGAGCACUCUAGACGAACUGCCGUUGACAAAACGGAGGAAGGUGGGGAUGACGUCAAAUCAUCAUGCCCCUUAUGUUCUGGGCUACACACGUGCUACAAUGGCCGGUACAGACGGACGCAAAGCCGCGAGGUGGAGCAAAUCCUAAAAAGCCGGUCUCAGUUCGGAUUGCAGGCUGCAAUUCGCCUGCAUGAAGUCGGAAUCGCUAGUAAUCGCAGGUCAGCAUACUGCGGUGAAUACGUUCCCGGGCCUU